rnacentral:rRNA from 1 species
AGUGAACGCUGGCGGUAGGCCUAACACAUGCAAGUCGAACGGCAGCACAGUAAGAGCUUGCUCUUACGGGUGGCGAGUGGCGGACGGGUGAGGAAUACAUCGGAAUCUACUUUUUCGUGGGGGAUAACGUAGGGAAACUUACGCUAAUACCGCAUACGACCUACGGGUGAAAGCAGGGGAUCUUCGGACCUUGCGCGAUUGAAUGAGCCGAUGUCGGAUUAGCUAGUUGGCGGGGUAAAGGCCCACCAAGGCGACGAUCCGUAGCUGGUCUGAGAGGAUGAUCAGCCACACUGGAACUGAGACACGGUCAAGACUCCUACGGGAGGCACCAGUGGGGAAUAUUGGACAAUGGGCGCAAGCCUGAUCCAGCCAUGCCGCGUGGGUGAAGAAGGCCUUCGGGUUGUAAAGCCCUUUUGUUGGGGAAGAAAAGCAGCAGGUUAAUACCCAGCGGUUCUGACGGUACCCAACGAAUAAGCACCGGCUAACUUCGUG